rnacentral:rRNA from 1 species
UACAGAGGUCUCAAGCGUUUGUUCGGAUUCAUUGGGCGUAAAGGGUGCGUAGGUGGCGCCGUAAGUCGGGUGUGAAAUUUCGGAGCUUAACUCCGAAACUGCAUUCGAUACUGCGGUGCUUGAGGACUGGAGAGGAGACUGGAAAUUCAUGGUGUAGCAGUGAAAUGCGUAGAGAUCAUGAGGAAGACCAGUGGCGAAGGCGGGUCUCUGGGACAAGUUC